rnacentral:rRNA from 1 species
UACGGGGGGGCAAGCGGUUGUUCGGAAUUACUGGGCGUAAAGGGCGCGUAGGCGGCCUUCUAAGUCGGACGUGAAAUCCCUCGGCUUAACCGAGGAACUGCGUCCGAUACUGAAAGGCUUGAAUCCGGGAGAAGGGAUGUGGAAUUCCAGGUGUAGCGGUGAAAUGCGUAGAUAUCUGGAGGAACACCGGUGGCGAAGGCGGCAUCCUGGACCGGCAUUGACGCUGAGGCGCGAAAGCUAGGGGAGCAAAGCGGG